GUGCCAGCAGCCGCGGUAAUAUCAGAGAGUGGCAAGCGUUGCUCGGUAUCACUGGGCUUAAAGGGCGCGUAGGCUGUGCGGUACGGUUCGGGUGAAAUCCCUCGGCUCAACCGAGGAACCGCCCGGGCGACGGCCGUGCUCGACUGCAUCAGGGGAAGAUGGAACUCCCGGUGGAGCGGUGAAAUGCGUAGAUAUCGGGAGGAACGCCGGUGGCGAAAGCGAUCUUCUGGGGUGCAAGUGACGCUGAGGCGCGAAAGCUAGGGGAGCAAACGGGAUUAGAUACCCCGGUAGUCCUAGCCCUAAACGAUGCGUACUGGGUAGUGGCCCGUUCCGACGGGCCGCUGCCGGAGCAAAAGUGUUAAGUACGCCGCCUGGGGAGUACGGCCGCAAGGUUAAAACUCAAAGGAAUUGACGGGGGCUCACACAAGCGGUGGAGGAUGUUGCUCAAUUCGAAGCAACGCGAAGAACCUUACCAGGACUUGGACAUGCUGGCAGUAGAACCCGGAAACGGGGACGACCUUCCGCAAGGAAGGAACCAGCACAGGUGUUGCAUGGCUGUCGUCAGCUCGUGCCGU
rnacentral:rRNA from 1 species